UGCAAUGACACGCUUAACUGCAGUCUCCAGCCGGUCAGCAAAUGAUGGAAAUUGCAAGUGCCUCAACAUCAUGGCAGAAGAUAGCAGCAGCGCAACAGGGUUAGCUCUCUUCUUCUCCACAAUAUUCUCAUUUCCAACAUUUCCUGCAGAAGCACCUUGCUCAAAGAUAGCAUGGUCCUGACCCACAUUACCUGAAAAGAUGCAGCAAAUGAAGAUUCACAGGCCUUCUAAAUUCGUAUACUGCAUCUGCUCAAAUAUGAAUACUAAACUUGCACAAUCUUGCUACACAAAACUCAUGGGAAAGAUUAACAGCAGUAUGAAAAAAAAACACAUAGAUGCAUGCAGUAAACGAGCCAAAAAAAAUUAAAUAAUGGGUAGAUGCAAAUACAACUUUACACAAAACCAUGCAUGCUAUUUGCACGUGUAGGAUUCGUGAAUCAUAGUUAAAACUCUACCUCCAGGCAUGACACCAGUGCCUCCAGCAAUACCUGCAGCUACAUUAGCCACCAGAUUGCCAUAAAGAUUUGGGGUGACCUAUAAAAGGAACCAAAGAAAAGUAUGUUCAAACUCCACAGGUAAUCUAACUAAAUCAUUUGAAAUCUUCAGAUUAUUCUGGAAAAAAACCUAUAGAGCAAGAGAAAACAAAGGAAAUUGUUAGCUUGGCGAUACUAGGAACUAACAUGCUUUUGUAUCACAUUUGCAGAGCAUAGUUCAUUUGGUAUUCAAAUAGUCCACAAAAGACAAGUAUAAGAUUGUAGGUAUAUAACAUGUGGCAUAUCCAAGAUCAUAAAGACAACAGGUGUUGUACUUUGCCUUUGUAGAAUAAGAAAACAACAUCAAACAUCACCUAUAGGUGAGAAACUGUGUCAAUUAAGUUACAAGAGUGAAUACACGUACCAUAACAUCGAAUUGUUCAGGCUUUGCAACAAGCUGCAUACAACAGUUGUCCACAAUGAUUUCAUUAUAUUGAAUUCCAGGGUACUUCUUUGCAACCUCACGGCAAGACUCCAAGAACAAACCAUCAGCAAGCUUCAUAAUGUUGGCUUUAUGCACUGCUGUCACUUUCUUUCGAUUGUU
rnacentral:lncRNA from 1 species